UAUUUGAUGAAUAGGCAGGAUGGGGAAU
rnacentral:sRNA from 1 species